rnacentral:rRNA from 1 species
UACGUAGGGUGCAAGCGUUAAUCGGAAUUACUGGGCGUAAAGCGUGCACAGGCGGUUAUGUAAGACAGAUGUGAAAUCCCCGGGCUCAACCUGGGAACUGCAUUUGUGACUGCAUAGCUAGAGUACGGUAGAGGGGGAUGGAAUUCCGCGUGUAGCAGUGAAAUGCGUAGAUAUGCGGAGGAACACCGAUGGCGAAGGCAAUCCCCUGGACCUGUACUGACGCUCAUGCACGAAAGCGUGGGGAGCAAACAGG